rnacentral:rRNA from 1 species
UGGGGAAUCUUCCGCAAUGGACGAAAGUCUGACGGAGCAACGCCGCGUGUAUGAUGAAGGUCUUCGGAUUGUAAAGUACUGUCAUUGGGGAAGAACGGUUUUCUUGAAAAGAUUGAGAAGACAUGACGGUACCCAAGGAGGAAGCCCCGGCUAACUACGUGCCAGCAGCCGCGGUAAUACGUAGGGGGCAAGCGUUGUCCGGAAUUAUUGGGCGUAAAGGGCGCGUAGGCGGGCUUUUAAGUCCGGUGUGAAAGAUCAGGGCUCAACCCUGAGAGUGCAUCGGAAACUGGAGGCCUUGAGGACAGGAGAGGAAAGUGGAAUUCCACGUGUAGCGGUGAAAUGCGUAGAUAUGUGGAGGAACACCAGUGGCGAAGGCGACUUUCUGGACUGUAACUGACGCUGAGGCGCGAAAGCGUGGGGAGCAAACAGGAUUAGAUACCCUGGUAGUCCACGCCGUAAACGAUGAGUGCUAGGUGUAGAGGGUAUCGACCCCUUCUGUGCCGCAGUUAACACAAUAAGCACUCCGCCUGGGGAGUACGGCCGCAAGGUUGAAACUUAAAGGAAUUGACGGGGUCAUAGCUGUUUUCCU